rnacentral:rRNA from 1 species
UACGUAGGGACCGAGCGUUGUCCGGAAUCAUUGGGCGUAAAGAGCGUGUAGGCGGCUAUUUAAGUCCUGCGUGAAAUCCUGCGGCUCAACCGCAGACGGUCGUGGGAAACUGGAUGGCUUGAGUACGGGAGAGGAGAGUGGAAUUCCCAGUGUAGAGGUGAAAUUCGUAGAUAUUGGGAAGAACACCGGUGGCGAAGGCGGCUCUCUGGACCGUAACUGACGCUGAGGCGCGAAAGCGUGGGGAGCAAACAGG